UUAAAUUAGAGUUUGAUCCUAGCUCAGGAUGAAUGCUGGCGGCGUGGAUGAGGCAUGCAAGUCGAAUGCUGCACCUUUCAGUCUUUGUUUUACAAGACGGAAAUGAAGUUUGAAAGGUGCAGCAUGGCAGACGAGGUAGGAACACGUAGGUACGUACCCAAGAGUCAGGGAUAACCCGGCGAAAGUCGGAAUAAUACUUGAUGGUCCCAGCUCCAGUUUUAGUUGUCAUUUAUAUUCUUUCGUGAAAAACAUAAAUAAUUUUUGUUUAUUACACUUGUAAAUAAAUGGUUACCAAAACUGGGGCUGGGUAAAGAUUUAUCGCUCUUGGAACGGCCUGCGGUCUAUCAGCUUGUUGGUAAGGUAAC
rnacentral:rRNA from 1 species